UGACAAUAACUUCCUAACUCUCUAACGUUAGAUUACCAUAAGCUUUGACGUUACAGGUUAACGUUCACGUAAAGUUACCUGUGAAACAUUUGACAGUUGUUGACGAGUUUAAUAACAAUAUAGCGUUAGUCCUAUAUUUUUCAACACCUUAAGUCGUUUAAUUUACCUAGUAUUAACCCAGAAAACAUGUUACAUCGUUGCCCAUAACGUUUUCCACUUGGGUUAUCCAGCUAGCGUGAACUCGCAAUAAAAGUAUCGACAGUGUUAGCUAAGUUGUUAACUAGCUAACGUUAAGCUAACAUUACCGGCUAAUGAUAGAAAAAGUCGCGCGUUUACCUGACUUGCUUUGUAAAAUUGCUUCUUAAAUCCUGCGACCGACAUCUUGCACCGUCAGCGUUGCCACCUGGACCUCGACGGGGAAAAUGUGUUUUAAAAUAAAUAAGUUACUGUGGGUUUGAGGUUUACAGCGGAGACACCAGCCGAGCAACACGUAUUGAAACUUUGCACCGUAGAUGUGAAACUUGCAAGGCCUAAGCGACCACAAUUUCCUGGACUCAGCUUCAUAUGGGAGGCUCCAUCCUGGUGGAUAAAGUGUGAGGAGCACAAGGCUAAAAGACAACACUGGUGAUAAAGGGACAAGAGAUCACAGCUAGCUCCCUGAGCAGCAGGCAGCAGGUCCGCAGACUCUGCUCGAGAACUUCACAGCAACCCAACUGUUGGUGGAAUCCGGCAGAGACAUCUCGCUGCCAAACACUUCCCGGUACAGUGGCGGGAAACUGUAGGCGGUCUCCGGGUGGACCAAACGGAAAAACUCGAGUUUGUCAAUGUGGAGGUUACAGAUAGACUUCAUUACGGGCAGCUUGGACACCAUCUGUGGGGACAGAAGAUAUACAAAGUUGCAUUGUUACACAGUUUUGGUGGCACUAAAGAGCUUUCACAACUAGAUUCCCAUCUGAUCCUCACCAAGUGCUUUGAAGAACUGAGCCGGGGCGAACUUCCCAUUGAAGAAAAUGGUGUUGUUGUUGGCGUUGAACGCUCGGCACAUGCGUAUCAGCAGCACUUCCAAACAGCCUGAAAGGGUACCCACAGACAGAGGCAAAGACAUGGAGAGAUGCAGGAAUGGAGAAAGAAGAGGAAGGGGGAGGGAUGGACAGAGAGUGCCCAAGAUACUCCAACAUGACAACACAACAAACAAAAUGUAAAUAAAUUUGACCCAGAUUGGUGCACAGCAUAUAUAAGACAUUUUGAACCAUAUAAAAAUCAGCAGGAUAACAUGAAUAUCCACAGAUUUUUUUUAAAGUUCAAAAGAUUUACAGAGAGUAAACAUAUUGUCCAAUAUAUGCAUUUAUGUCGCAGAUAUAUAUAUAUAAAUAUGUACGUGUGUGUGUGUUGAACAGAUAAAGAUAUUAUUGAAAA